AUACGGAGGGUGCAAGCGUUAAUCGGAAUUACUGGGCGUAAAGAGUACGUAGGUGGUUUAUUAAGUCAGAUGUGAAAGCCCCGGGCUCAACCUGGGAACUGCAUUUGAAACUAGUAAGCUAGAGUAUGGUAGAGGGGGGUAGAAUUUCUAGUGUAGCGGUGAAAUGCGUAGAUAUUAGAAGGAAUACCAGUGGCGAAGGCGGCCCCCUGGACCAAUACUGACACUGAGGUACGAAAGCGUGGGGAGCAAACAGGAUUAGAAACCCUAGUAGUCC
rnacentral:rRNA from 1 species